GGCGGACGGGUGAGUAAUGUAUAGUUAAUCUGCCCUUUAGAGGGGGAUAACAGUUGAAACGACUGCUAAUACCCCAUACUCCUUUUACAUUAAUUGUAAUUGGGAAAUGUUUUUUCGCUAAAGGAUGAGACUAUAUGGUAUCAGGUAGUUGGUGGGGUAAGAGCCUACCAAGCCAAUGACGCCUAGCUGGUCUGAGAGGAUGAUCAGCCACACUGGAACUGAGACACGGUCCAG
rnacentral:rRNA from 1 species